UAAAGAUUCAUCGCUGAUAGAUAGGCAUGCGUUCCAUUAGGCAGUUGGCGGGGUAACGGCCCACCAAACCGACGAUGGAUAGGGGUUCUGAGAGGAAGGUCCCCCACAUUGGUACUGAGACACGGACCAAACUCCUACGGGAGGCAGCAGUGAGGAAUAUUGGUCAAUGGGCGUAAGCCUGAACCAGCCAAGUCGCGUGAGGGAUGAAGGUUCUAUGGAUCGUAAACCUCUUUUAUAAGGGAAUAAAGUGCGGGACGUGUCCCGUUUUGUAUGUACCUUAUGAAUAAGGAUCGGCUAACUCCGUGCCAGCAGCCGCGGUAAUACGGAGGAUCCGAGCGUUAUCCGGAUUUAUUGGGUUUAAAGGGUGCGUAGGCGGCCUUUUAAGUCAGCGGUGAAAGUCUGUGGCUCAACCAUAGAAUUGCCGUUGAAACUGGGAGGCUUGAGUAUGUUUGAGGCAGGCGGAAUGCGUGGUGUAGCGGUGAAAUGCUUAGAUAUCACGCAGAACCCCGAUUGCGAAGGCAGCCUGCCAAGUCAUGACUGACGCUGAUGCACGAAAGCGUGGGGAUCAAACAGGAUUAGAUACCCUGGUAGUCCACGCAGUA
rnacentral:rRNA from 1 species